UACGUAGGGGGCGAGCGUUGUCCGGAUUUACUGGGCGUAAAGGGCGCGUAGGCGGAAGAUUAAGCGGGCCUUGAAAGCCCCCGGCUCAACCGGGGAAGGUGGGUGCGAACUGGUCUUCUUGAGGGCGAUAGAGGGGGGCGGAAUUCCUGGUGUAGCGGUGAAAUGCGUAGAGAUGUGGAGGAACACCGAUGGCGAAGGCAGCCCCCUGGGCUAACACUGACGCUCAUGCACGAAAGCGUGGGGAGCAAACAGG
rnacentral:rRNA from 1 species